GACCCGGUGGUGAAAAGCUAUCACGCUGGGUACGCGUUCGGAUUUCUCCGAUUUACGUUCGAUUGCCAGAAUCCCUCGUUCGAAUCGAGGUCGGGUCU